rnacentral:rRNA from 1 species
GACGAACGCUGGCGGCGUGCCUAAUACAUGCAAGUUGAGCGAUGAAGAUUGGUGCUUGCACCAAUUUGAAGAGCAGCGAACGGGUGAGUAACGCGUGGGGAAUCUGCCUUUGAGCGGGGGACAACAUUUGGAAACGAAUGCUAAUACCGCAUAACAACUUUAAACAUAAGUUUUAAGUUUGAAAGAUGCAAUUGCAUCACUCAAAGAUGAUCCCGCGUUGUAUUAGCUAGUUGGUGAGGUAAAGGCUCACCAAGGCGAUGAUACAUAGCCGACCUGAGAGGGUGAUCGGCCACAUUGGGACUGAGACACGGCCCAAACUCCUACGGGAGGCAGCAGUGGGGAAUCUUCGGCAAAGGACGAAAGUCUGACCGAGCAACGCCGCGGGAGGGAAGAAGGUUUUCGGAUCGUAAAACUCUGUUGGUAGAGAAGAACGUUGGUGAGAGUGGAAAGCUCAUCAAGUGACGGUAACUACCCAGAAAGGGACGGCUAACUACGUG